rnacentral:rRNA from 1 species
GUGUCAGCCGCCGCGGUAAUACGUAUGGGGCAAGCGUUAUCCGGAUUCAUUGGGCGUAAAGAGCGCGUAGGCGGAUUGUUAAGCGAGAUGUGAAAACCGGGGGCUCAACCCGCGGCCUGCAUCUCGAACUGGCAGUCUUGAGUCUGGUAGAGGAAAGUGGAAUUCCCAGUGUAGCGGUGAAAUGCGCAGAUAUUGGGAGGAACACCAGUGGCGAAGGCGGCUUUCUGGGCCACGACUGACGCUGAGGCGCGAAAGCUAGGGGAGCAAACAGGAUUAGAAACCCUUGUAGUCC